AACGAACGCUGGCGGCAGGCCUAACACAUGCAAGUCGAGCGAGAUCUUCGGGUCUAGCGGCGGACGGGUGAGUAACGCGUGGGAAUAUGCCCUUCUCUACGGAAUAGCCUCGGGAAACUGAGAGUAAUACCGUAUACGCCCUUUGGGGGAAAGAUUUAUCGGAGAAGGAUUAGCCCGCGUUGGAUUAGGUAGUUGGUGGGGUAAUGGCCUACCAAGCCGACGAUCCAUAGCUGGUUUGAGAGGAUGAUCAGCCACACUGGGACUGAGACACGGCCCAGACUCCUACGGGAGGCAGCAGUGGGGAAUCUUAGACAAUGGGGGCAACCCUGAUCUAGCCAUGCCGCGUGAGUGAUGAAGGCCCUAGGGUUGUAAAGCUCUUUCAGCUGGGAAGAUAAUGACGGUACCAGCAGAAGAAGCCCCGGCUAACUCCGUGCCAGCAGCCGCCGCAGUAG
rnacentral:rRNA from 1 species